AUUGAACGCUGGCGGCAUGCUUUACACAUGCAAGUCGAGCGGCAGCGCGGGGGGCAACCCUGGCGGCGAGCGGCGAACGGGUGAGUAAUGCAUCGGAACGUGUCCCGUAGUGGGGGAUAACCCGGCGAAAGCCGGGCUAAUACCGCAUAUGCUCUACGGAGGAAAGCGGGGGACCGCAAGGCCUCGCGCUAUGGGAGCGGCCGAUGUCCGAUUAGCUAGUUGGUGGGGUAAUGGCUUACCAAGGCGACGAUCGGUAGCUGGUCUGAGAGGAUGAUCAGCCACACUGGGACUGAGACACGGCCCAGACUCCUACGGGAGGCAGCAGUGGGGAAUUUUGGACAAUGGGGGCAACCCUGAUCCAGCCAUGCCGCGUGCGGGAAGAAGGCCU
rnacentral:rRNA from 1 species